rnacentral:rRNA from 1 species
CGCGUAUGCAAUCUGCCUCUAUCUGGAAGAUAGCCCGGAGAAAUCCGGAUUAAUACUCCAUAAUAUCAUUGAUUCACCUGUUUUGAUGAUUAAAGCUCCGGCGGAUAGAGAUGAGCAUGCGUCCUAUUAGUUUGUUGGUGAGGUAACGGCUCACCAAGACUUCGAUAGGUAGGGGGCCUGAGAGGGUGAUCCCCCACACUGGUACUGAGACACGGACCAGACUCCUACGGGAGGCAGCAGUGAGGAAUAUUGGACAAUGGGCGAAAGCCUGAUCCAGCCAUGCCGCGUGCAGGAUGACAGCCCUACGGGUUGUAAACUGCUUUUAUACAGGAAUAAACCCCCGGACGUGUCCGGGGCUGAAUGUACUGUAAGAAUAAGGAUCGGCUAACUCCGUGCCAGCAGCCGCGGUAAUACGGAGGAUCCAAGCGUUAUCCGGAUUUAUUGGGUUUAAAGGGUCCGCAGGCGGAUUACUAAGUCAGUGGUGAAAGGCUGUCGCUUAACGAUAGCACUGCCAUUGAUACUGGUAAUCUUGAGUAUAGUUGAGGUGGGCGGAAUAAGUCAUGUAGCGGUGAAAUGCAUAGAUAUGACUUAGAACACCGAUUGCGAAGGCAGCUCACUAAACUAUUACUGACGCUCAGGGGCGAAAGCGUGGGGAGCGAACAGGAUUAGAUACCCUGGUAGUCCACGCUGUAAACGAUGAUCACUCGCUGUUGGCGAUAUACUGUCAGCGGCCAAGCGAAAGCAUUAAGUGAUCCACCUGGGGAGUACGCUCGCAAGAGUGAAACUCAAAGGAAUUGACGGGGGCCCGCACAAGCGGUGGAGCAUGUGGUUUAAUUCGAUGAUACGCGAGGAACCUUACCUGGGCUUAAAUGCAGAACGACCUCCCGAGAAAUCGGGAUUUCUUCGGACGGUCUGCAAGGUGCUGCAUGGUUGUCGUCAGCUCGUGCCGUGAGGUGUCGGGUUAAGUCCCAUAACGAGCGCAACCCCUAUUCUUAGUUGCCAGCGGUUCGGCCGGGGACUCUAAGAAAACUGCCCGCGCAAGCGGUGAGGAAGGUGGGGAUGACGUCAAAUCAUCACGGCCCUUACGUCCAGGGCUACACACGUGCUACAAUGGUAUUGACAAAGGGCAGCUACAUCGCGAGAUGAUGCUAAUCCCUAAACAAUAUCUCAGUUCGGAUCGCAGUCUGCAACUCGACUGCGUGAAGCUGGAAUCGCUAGUAAUCGCGCAUCAGCCAUGGCGCGGUGAAUACGUUCCCGGGCCUUACACACCGCCCGUCAAACCAUGGAAGCUGGGGGUGCCUGAAGUCGGUAACCGCAAGGAGCUGCCUAGGGUAAAACUAGUGACUGGGGCUAAGUCGUAACAAGGUA